rnacentral:rRNA from 1 species
AAAGCGAUUCAGCGGGUUACGAUUGACGGAGCGAAGCGACGUCAAAGCGUAUACAAAGUCGAGUCGGUUUAAGGAUACGUUCGUUGGGUAGGGGAGCGUUCUGUAAGCCUGUGAAGGUGUGUCGUGAGGCAUGCUGGAGGUAUCAGAAGUGCGAAUGCUGACAUAAGUAACGAUAAAGCGGGUGAAAAGCCCGCUCGCCGGAAGACCAAGGGUUCCUGUCCAACGUUAAUCGGGGCAGGGUGAGUCGACCCCUAAGGCGAGGCCGAAAGGCGUAGUCGAUGGGAAACGGGUUAAUAUUCCCGUACUUGGUGUUACUGCGAAGGGGGGACGGAGAAGGCUAUGUUGGCCGGGCGACGGUUGUCCCGGUUUAAGCGUGUAGGUGUGUGUUCCAGGUAAAUCCGGUU